GGCAAACGGGUGCGGAAGCACGUACGCAAUCUUCCAUUAAUUGGUGAAUAGCCUCUCGAAAGAGAGAUUAAUACACCGUAACAUAUAUGUGAGGCAUCUCAUAUAUAUUAUAGCUCCGGCGAUUAAUGAUGACGUGCGGCUGAUUAGGUAGUUGGUAGGGUAACGGCCUACCAAGCCAGCGAUCAGUAACUGGCGUGAGAGCGCGACCAGUCACACGGGCACUGAGACACGGGCCCGACUCCUACGGGAGGCAGCAGUAAGGAAUAUUGGUCAAUGGACGCAAGUCUGAACCAGCCAUGCCGCGUGCAGGAUGAAGGCCCUCUGGGUUGUAAACUGCUUUUGUCUGGAAAGAAAUCCCCUUUUUUAAGGGUGUUGACGGUACCAGAAGAAUAAGCACCGGCUAACUCCGUGCCAGCAGCCGCGGUAAUACGGAGGGUGCAAGCGUUAUCCGGAUUUACUGGGUUUAAAGGGUGCGUAGGCGGAUUAGUAAGUCAGUGGUGAAAGCUCCGAGCUUAAC
rnacentral:rRNA from 1 species